ensembl:snRNA U6 U6 spliceosomal RNA
AUGCUCCCUUUGGCAGCACAUAUACUAAAAUUGGAACAAUGAUACAGAGAUUAGCAUGGCCCCUGUGCAAGGAUGACACACAAAUUCGUGAAGCGUUCCAUAUUUUC